UUCCUCUCUCCCUCGGUUCCUCUUGCCCUGCAGCCGUUUAAACUGGGAAAGAAGAAGAAAAUGCAGGAGUUAAGAACCCAGAAAAAUGGCAAGUCACCCGAGUCAGAGAUGUGCCUGGAGGGGAGCGUGGAGCAAGGGGAAUUAAAGCACCCCAAAACUUCAGUAAGACCCAGGUCCUGAUCUGAACAUUAGUGAUGCCUCCAAGCUUGCUCUACCUACUAAAAACUGAAUGUGACCACUGAACGGGUACCCAACUGCCCCUAGGCUGAGGAGCAAUAGGGUCUAACGACUCACUCUGCACUUGCCAAGAGGCUGUGGAAGAACACAACAUCAACAACAGGCAGAAGUGUGCACAGCGACGGACUCCUUUCUAGAGGAAGGGUCUCACUAAGUUGCCCAGGCCAACCUCAAACUUGUGAUCCACCUACCUCAGCCGCCCAAGUGGCUGGGAGACUACCAUGCCCAUCUAAGAACCUCCACCGAGAGGUUGGCGAUUCCCGCGUCUAGAUCCCUUCUACUAAGCGGUGACUUCCCUACCAAAAGGAUAGUGCUUUGAAUCUUGAAUGUGGUUCUGACAGCUGCAGGACACAAAAAAAAGUCAUGUGUGCUUUGUUAACUUACUGCUUCG